CGUAGGGUGAACCUGCGGAAGGAUCAUUAUAGUAUUCUAUUGCCAGCGCUUAAUUGCGCGGCGAUAAACCUUACACACAUUGUCUAGUUUUUUUGGCGCUUAAUUGCGCGGCGAUAAACCUUACACACAUUGUCUAGUUUUUUUGCAUUUUUUUUAAUGUUAAAACCUUUAACCAAUAGUCAUGAAAAUUUUUAACAAAAAUUAAAAUCUUCAAAACUUUCAACAACGGAUCUCUUGGUUCUCGCAACGAUGAAGAACGCAGCGAAAUGCGAUACGUAUUGUGAAUUGCAGAUUUUCGUGAAUCAUCGAAUCUUUGAACGCACAUUGCACCCUCUGGUAUUCCAGAGGGUAUGCCUGUUUGAGCGUCAUUUCUCUCUCAAACCUUCGGGUUUGGUAUUGAGUGAUACUCUGUCAAGGGUUAACUUGAAAUAUUGACUUAGCAAGAGUGUACUAAUAAGCAGUCUUUCUGAAAUAAUGUAUUAGGUUCUUCCAACUCGUUAUAUCAGCUAGGCAGGUUUAGAAGUAUUUUAGGCUCGGCUUAACAACAAUAAACUAAAAGUUGACCUC
rnacentral:rRNA from 1 species